AACAUGACUUACCUUAGUACGGCGAGUGAAGCGGUAAAAGCUUCCAAAUUUGAAAUCUGGUACUUUCAGUGCCCGAGUUGUAAUUUGUAGAAUUUGUCUUUGAUUAGGUCCUUGUCUAUGUUCCUUGGAACAGGACGUCAUAGAGGGUGAGAAUCCCGUUUGGCGAGGAUACCUUUUCUCUGUAAGACUUUUUCGAAGAGUCGAGUUGUUUGGGAAUGCAGCUCAAAGUGGGUGGUAAAUUCCAUCUAAAGCUAAAUAUUGGCGAGAGACCGAUAGCGAACAAGUACAGUGAUGGAAAGAUGAAAAGAACUUUGAAAAGAGAGUGAAAAAGUACGUGAAAUUGUUGAAAGGGAAGGGCAUUUGAUCAGACAUGGUGUUUUUUGCAUGCACUCGCCUCUCGUGGGCUUGGGCCUCUCAAAAAUUUCACUGGGCCAACAUCAAUUCUGGCAGCAGGAUAAAUCAUUAAGAAUGUAGCUACUUCGGUAGUGUUAUAGCUUUUUGGAAUACUGUUAGCCGGGAUUGAGGACUGCGCUUCGGCAAGGAUGUUGGCAUAAUGGUUAAAUGCCGCCCGUCUUAACAAACCGGCCACCA
rnacentral:rRNA from 1 species